rnacentral:rRNA from 1 species
CCUACGGGAGGCAGCAGUGGGGAAUUUUGGACAAUGGACGCAAGUCUGAUCCAGCCAUGCCGCGUGCGGGAAGAAGGCCUUCGGGUUGUAAACCGCUUUUGUCAGGGAAGAAACGGGUUUCUCUAAUACAGAGACCUAAUGACGGUACCUGAAGAAUAAGCACCGGCUAACUACGUGCCAGCAGCCGCGGUAAUACGUAGGGUGCAAGCGUUAAUCGGAAUUACUGGGCGUAAAGCGUGCGCAGGCGGUUAUGCAAGACAGAGGUGAAAUCCCCGGGCUCAACCUGGGAACUGCCUUUGUGACUGCAUAGCUAGAGUACGGUAGAGGGGGAUGGAAUUCCGCGUGUAGCAGUGAAAUGCGUAGAUAUGCGGAGGAACACCGAUGGCGAAGGCAAUCCCCUGGACCUGUACUGACGCUCAUGCACGAAAGCGUGGGGAGCAAACAGGAUUAGAUACCCUGGUAGUCCACGCCCUAAACGAUGUCAACUGGUUGUUGGGAGGGUUUCUUCUCAGUAACGAAGCUAACGCGUGAAGUUGACCGCCUGGGGAGUACGGCCGCAGGUUGAACGUUAAAUGAAUUGACGG